rnacentral:lncRNA from 1 species
AGCCCUAAACCACCUUCACACCACCCUCCUAUUGUUAAGCCACCAGUUCACAAACCACCAAAGCAUUCUCCUACUCCUAAACCACCAGUUCAUAAACCACCAAGAUAUCCUCCUAAACCAUCACCUUGUCCACCCCCAUCAUCAACACCAAAACCACCUCAUCAUCCCAAACCCCCAGCAGUACACCCACCACAUGUUCCAAAACCACAUCCACCUUAUGUUCCAAAACCACCAAUUGUUAAACCUCCAAUAGUACAUCCACCUUACGUACCAAAACCCCCAGUUGUGAAACCACCACCAUAUGUCCCUAAACCACCUGUUGUGAGACCACCCUAUGUUCCUAAACCACCAGUUGUACCUGUAACACCACCUUAUGUUCCUAAGCCACCAAUUGUUUUCCCACCACAUGUUCCUCUACCUCCAGUUGUACCAUCACCACCACCUUAUGUACCAACACCUCCAAUUGUGAAACCACCAAUUGUUUUUCCACCACAUGUUCCUCUACCUCCAGUUGUGCCUGUAACACCACCUUAUGUGCAACCACCACCUAUUGUAACUCCACCAACACCAACACCUCCAAUUGUGACACCACCAACACCACCUAGUGAAACACCUUGUCCUCCACCACCACUUGUACCUUAUCCACCACCACCAGCACAACAAACAUGUUCCAUUGAUGCUUUGAAGUUGGGUGCAUGUGUUGAUGUGCUUGGUGGACUCAUACAUAUUGGUAUAGGUGGAAGUG